rnacentral:lncRNA from 1 species
AUACAUGGUGUGCAUGAUAGAACAAAUUUUAUUCAUAAAUAUUCUAUGUAUGUUGGAUUGGGAUAACCCAAGCAAUUUUUUAGAUCUAUCUCUAAAGAUCUUCAUCUUUAGGAUGAGGGAUGCUUUUUCCAACUUCUUUAUGGAGAACAUUAAUGAUAGCGAAACUUUUAUUCCCGAUAAUGUAAGGAAUGUCAUUCUCCAUUAAGAGAAUUUCAUUCACAUACAAAAUAAGAAAUACACUCAUAGAACUAUUAACCUAUUUGUAUUUGUAAGAUUCUUCUUCAUUCUCAAUG